rnacentral:sRNA from 1 species
UCGCUACCCGUGUCGACCAGAAACUGC